AUGGCCGUAGACGCUGGCGGUGGCCUGUGCCUGCCCCAAAAGGCAGCCCGCCCGCCGGCCCGCCCGCGGCCAGCCUGGGCCGCUCUUCCACUCUAUGCCCUGGCACCCCCGGGCGCCGCGCUGCGCCUUGCGUCGGCCUCUCAGAGCCUCCCGUUGUCGCUGGCGGGGACGACAGUGUAUGCUCCGAGCGGUCAGGGUCCUGGGACUUCCUCCGGCCCUCCGCCUUGCAGCCGCCGCCGCCGCCGAGGGAUACUUGUGGAUCCGUCGCCGCCCCUCCGGCAAGGUCCCCUCUUGCCCCUUCCACUCAGAGCCGCCGCGGCUGCCCAGGAACGAAGGGCCGGCCCGGCCCCGCGGGUUCUUUUUCUCACAACGCACCCACCACGGUCCCUUGUCCGGCUCAGGGGCCGGGGAGGCGGAGCCCUUGCUGUGUCCCGCGCUGGCGCUAGAGCCGGCAGCCUGAUCCCGGCAAGAGAGGGGCCGAGGCACUCGCAGAAGGAGAGCAGAGGACAGCCAAAUGGAGAGACAGAAACAAACGGAGAGAGACACACAGACGACAGAGGCGGACAGACAGACACACACACAGAAAGACACGGGGUGAGGGGGGAGAGGGGGAGAGAGACAGAGAGAGAGAGAGAGAGAGAGAGAGAGAGAGAGAGAGAGAGAGAGAGAGAGAGAGGGAGACGGAGACAGAGACCGACAGAACGAGCGCCAGCUAGAGGGGGGAGAACAGAAAGGGAGGGGCUGAGGCACCUAGAGAGCCACAGCGAUAGAGCCUUGGCGUGCCAGCGCUCUGCUCUAAUAGACAGGGCCUCUUGGAGCAGGCCGACGUGGGGUGGAGGCUGCUUGGGCUGGGUCAGGACCGGAUGGCAGGGCCGCCCACGCGGCAGGACCGCCGGCGCCCUGACAGGUGUUUCUUCUUGGCUUGGUUGGGUGCGCUGGGAGGGGCGGGUGCGUUUGCCGGGGUCCUUCCUUUGUUGGCUCCUCCCCGACCACUUGCUGCGGUGGGCCCCGCGAUCUGCAGAGAGACGGGGCCCGAGGCCUGCGUCUCUCUCGUGCCCUCGAGGCUGGUGUUUUCGCGAAGUUGGCGGCGGUGGUGUAGGGCUCAUGGCCCCGCAGGGUCGUGGGGUGAGCCUUAGGCCGUGCUGA
rnacentral:lncRNA from 1 species